AAGUAAAUUAUUUUAUUGGGGUUAUUUUACAAAUUGACAAUACUUGAGGAUUUAACAUGGACAUCAUUUAAAUAUGAGGAUUUAUUUUACAAGAAUGGAAAGUUAGACUAGACUUUAUUUAAAACAUAAAAGGAGGGACUUGACUUGCAAUUAUUCAAUAAUUAUCCAUUAAAUAUCAUCUAUAUUACCCAUUUUCUCAUAUUUUGGGGGAAAAUGAGAGAAGGC
rnacentral:lncRNA from 1 species